rfam:Brachypodium distachyon strain Bd21 chromosome 1, whole genome shotgun sequence.
AUACUACUCUCUUCGUCCAACAAAAGAUGUCUUAAGUUUGUCAAAUUUUAGAUGUAUCUAGACAUGACUUAAUAUAUAGAUGCAUUCAAAUUUAGUCAAAGUUGAGACAUCCUUUGUUGGACGGAGUAUUAU